rnacentral:lncRNA from 1 species
AGUAGGGUUUAGGGUUAGAAAGGGUUUAAGGUUAGGUAGGGUUUAGGGUAGGUAGGGUUUAGGGUUAGGUAGAGUUAGCGGUAGGUAAGGUUUAGGGUUAGGCAGGGUUUAGGGUUAGGCAGGGUUUAGUGUUAGAAAUGGUUUAGGGUUAGAAAGGGUUUAAGGUUAGGUUUAGGCAUGGUUUAGGUUAGCAGGGUUUAGGGUUCGGUUGGGUUUAGGGUUAGAAAGGGUUUAGGGUUAGGUAGAGUUUAGGGUUAGGCAGGGUUUAGGGUUAAAAAGGGUUUAGGGUUAGGUAGGGUUAGGUAGGGUUUAAGGUUAGGUAGGGUUUAGGGUUAGGUAAGGUUUAGAAUUAGGUAGGGUUUAGGGUUAGGAAGGAUUUAGAAUUAGGCAGGUUUUAGGGUUAGGCAGGUUUUAGGGUUAGGUAGGGUUUAGGGUUAGGUACGGUUUAGGAUUAGUAGGGUUUAGGGUUAGGUAGGGUUUAGAAUUAGGUAGGGUUUAAGGUUAGGCAGGGUUUAAGGUUAGGCAGAGUUUAGGGUUAGGCAGGGUUUAGGGUUAGAAAGGGUUUAGGGUUAGGCAGGGUUUAGGGUUAGAAAGGGUUUAGGGUUAGAUAGGGUUUAGGGUUAGGUAGGGUUUAGGGUUAGGUAGGGUUUAGGGUUAGAAAGGGUUUAAGGUUAGGUAGGGUUUAGGGUAGGUAGUGUUUAGGGUUAGGUAGAGUUAGCGGUAGGUAAGGUUUAGGAUUAGGUAGGGUUUAGAGUUUGGUAGGGUUUAAGGUUAGUAGGGUUUAGGGUUAGGCAAGGUUUAAAAUUAGGUAGGGUUAGGGUUAGGCAGGGUUAAGGGUUAGGCAGGGUUUAGGGUUAGGCAGGGUUUAGGGUUAGAAAGGGUUUAGAGUUAGAAAGGGUUUAGGGUUAGAAAGGGUUUAAGGUUAGGUUUAGGCAUGGUUUAGGUUAGCAGGGUUUAGGGUUCGGUUGGGUUUAGGGUUAGAAAGGGUUUAGGGUUAGGUAGGGUUUAGGGUUAGGCAGGGUUUAGGGUUAGGCAGGGUUUAGGGUUCGGCAGGGUUUAGAGGUAGUAGGGUUUAGGGUUAGAUAGGGUUUUAGGUUAGGCAGGGUUUAGGUUAGGUAGGGUUUAGGGUUAGGCAGGGUUUAGGGUUAGUAGGGUUUAGAAUUAGGUAGGGUUUAGGGUUAGGCACAGUUUAGGGUUAGACAGGGUUUAGGGUUAGUAGGGUUUAGGGUUAGGAAGGGUUUAGGGUUAGGUAGGGUUUAGGGUUAGAAAGGGUUUAGGGUUAGGUAGGGUUUAUGGUAGGUAGGGUUUAGGGUUAGGUAGGGUGAAGGGUAGGUAGGGUUUAGGGUUAGGUAGGGUUUAGGGUUAGUAGGGUUUAGAAUUAGGUAGGAUUUAGGGUUAGGUAGGGUUUAGGGUGAGGUAGGGUUUAGGGUUAGUAGGGUUUAGGGUUAGAAAGGAGGUUUAGGGUUAGGUAGAGUUUAGAAUUAGGUAGGGUUUAGGGUUAGGUAGAGUUUAGAAUUAGGUAGGGUUUAGGGUUAGGUAGAGUUUAGAAUUAGGUAGGGUUUAGGGUUAGGUAGAGUUUAGAAUUAGGUAGGGUUUAGGGUUAGUAUGGUUUAGGUUUAGGUAGGGUUUAGGGCUAGAUAGGAUUUAGGUUUAGAAAGGUUUUAGGGUUAGGUAGGGUUUAGGUUAGGUAGGGUUUAGGGUUAGUAGGGUUUAGGGUUAGGUAGGGUUUAGGGCUAGAUAUGAUCUAGGUUUAGAAAGGUUUUAGGGUUAGGUAGGGUUUAGGUUAGGUAGGGUUUAGGGUUAGUAGGGUUUAGGGUUAGGUAGGGUUUAGGGCUAGAUAUGAUCUAGGUUUAGAAAGGUUUUAGGGUUAGGUAGGGUUUAGGUUAGGUAGGGUUUAGGGUUAGUAGGGUUUAGGGUUAGGUAGGGUUUAGGGCUAGAUAUGAUCUAGGUUUAGAAAGGUUUUAGGGUUAGGUAGGGUUUAGGUUAGGUAGAGUUUAGUGUUAAGUAGGGUUUAGGGUUAGUAGGAUUUAGGGUUAGGUAGGGUUUAGGGUUAGUAUGGUUUAGGGUUAGGUUUUAGGGUUAGGUAAGGUUUAGUGUUAGGUAGGGUUUAGGGUUAAAUAGGGUUUAGGGUUAGGUAGGGUUUACGGUUAGAUAUGCUUAGGUAGUAGGAAGGGUUUAGGGAUUAGGGUUAGGUUUAUGUAGGGUUUAGGGUUAGAUAUGGUUAAGGUCUAGGUUUAGGUAGGGUUUAGGGUUAGGUAGAAUUUAAAGUUUAGGUAGUAGGAAAGGUUUAGCAUUAGUUUAGGUUGGGUUUAGGGUUUGGUUUAGAAUAAUGUUUAGGAUUAUAGGAUUUAAGUUUGUUUAUUUUUUUGUUUAUGCAUUUAAUGCUGAGUCUUUCGGAUAAAGUUUUUUAU